rnacentral:rRNA from 1 species
UGCGACCAUUAUCCCACAUCAAACACACCCAAUCUUGUGUGAUUUUGGAAGUGAGACAAGGUUGACCCUGUUUAAUACUUGGAUGGGAGACCACCAAGCAACACUAGGUAUGUCAAGC